rnacentral:rRNA from 1 species
AGUGAACGCUGGCGGUAGGCCUAACACAUGCAAGUCGAGCGGCAGCACAGUAAGAGCUUGCUCUUACGGGUGGCGAGUGGCGGACGGGUGAGGAAUACAUCGGAAUCUACUUUUUCGUGGGGGAUAACGUAGGGAAACUUACGCUAAUACCGCAUACGACCUACGGGUGAAAGCAGGGAUCUUCGGACCUUGCGCGAUUGAAUGAGCCGAUGUCGGAUUAGCUAGUUGGCGGGGUAAAGGCCCACCAAGGCGACGAUCCGUAGCUGGUCUGAGAGGAUGAUCAGCCACACUGGAACUGAGACACGGUCCAGACUCCUACGGGAGGCAGCAGUGGGGAAUAUUGGACAAUGGGCGCAAGCCUGAUCCAGCCAUACCGCGUGGGUGAAGAAGGCCUUCGGGUUGUAAAGCCCUUUUGUUGGGAAAGAAAAGCAGCAGGUUAAUACCCCGCUGUUCUGACGGUACCCAAAGAAUAAGCACCGGCUAACUUCGUG